CACGUAGGGCGCAAGCGUUGUCCGGAAUUAUUGGGCGUAAAGAGCUCGUAGGCGGCCGGUUGCGUCUGCUGUGAAAUCCCGGGGCUUAACCCCGGGCGUGCAGUGGAUACGGGCCGGCUGGAGGCAGGCAGGGGAGAAUGGAAUUCCCGGUGUAGCGGUGAAAUGCGCAGAUAUCGGGAGGAACACCGGUGGCGAAGGCGGUUCUCUGGGCCUGUACUGACGCUGAGGCGCGAAAGCCAGGGGAGCAAACGGG
rnacentral:rRNA from 1 species